AUGCCACUCUUUUCUUUAAUGUCUCUAAUAUUCUUUAUUCUGUCUUGUUAGGGUAUUUGGGAUUUAAUUUAGCUCCUUCUAUAAGGGAUCUUCGAGAAAGAGAAAGGAGAGAGGAAGUGAGGUGGAAAGGAGAGAAAGAAAGGAAAAAGGUUCUUGAGGGAAGGUUCUAAAGAAGAAGGGAAAUCUUAAGAGAGAAAAGAGGGAAAAAAAAAAUUCUAUUCCCACAUUUAACUACUAUUGUAUCAAAGGUUUCAAUGGCCGAUGGUCCCUUUAAAUCGAAGGUUUUAGAAUACCCAUACUUUAACAGUUAAUUCUGCUUAUUAGAAUUUGGUUUCCCUUAAAUUAUCUUUAUCAUUUAGUAUUUAGGUCACCGGGGCCUAAGAGAAUAUUUCAUCCAUGGGUGCAUAUUUCAGUCG
rnacentral:misc_RNA from 1 species